AAGGAAUAUUGGUCAAUGGAGGCAACUCUGAACCAGCCAUGCCGCGUGCAGGAAGACGGCCCUAUGGGUUGUAAACUGCUUUUAUCUGGGAAUAAACCUAUUUACGUGUAAGAAGCUGAAUGUACCAGAAGAAUAAGGAUCGGCUAACUCCGUGCCAGCAGCCGCGGUAAUACGGAGGAUCCAAGCGUUAUCCGGAUUUAUUGGGUUUAAAGGGUGCGUAGGCGGCCUGUUAAGUCAGAGGUGAAAGACGGUAGCUCAACUAUCGCAGUGCCUUUGAUACUGACGGGCUUGAAUAAACUAGAGGUAGGCGGAAUGAGACAAGUAGCGGUGAAAUGCAUAGAUAUGUCUCAGAACACCGAUUGCGAAGGCAGCUUACUAUGGUUUUAUUGACGCUGAGGCACGAAAGCGUGGGGAUCAAAC
rnacentral:rRNA from 1 species